rnacentral:rRNA from 1 species
CAAGCCAAAUUAAGGUGAAACCGCGAAAGGCUCAUUAAAUCAGUUANGGUUCUUAGAUCGUACCCACAAUUACUUGGAUAACUGUGGUAAUUCUAGAGCUAAUACAUGCAAACAGAGCUCCGACCGGAGACGGAAGGAGUGCUUUUAUUAGAUCAAAACCAAUCGUUGGCGGGCUCGUCAUCGUACAACUUGGUGACUCUGAAUAACUUUACGCUGAUCGCACGGUCAUCGCACCGGCGACGCAUCUUUCAAAUGUCUGCCUUAUCAACUGUCGAUGGUAGGUUCUGCGCCUACCAUGGUUGUAACGGGUAACGGGGAAUCAGGGUUCGAUUCCGGAGAGGGAGCCUGAGAAACGGCUACCACAUCCAAGGAAGGCAGCAGGCGCGCAAAUUACCCACUCCCGGCACGGGGAGGUAGUGACGAAAAAUAACGAUACGGGACUCAUCCGAGGCCCCGUAAUCGGAAUGAGUACACUCUAAACCCUUUAACGAGGAUCAAUUGGAGGGCAAGUCUGGUGCCAGCAGCCGCGGUA